CCAGGGCUGAUUUCACCUCCUUCCCGCCCAGCCUCCCUUCCCAAAGCUGUGGGAACUGCUGUAACGCAGCAGCUACCACGGCGCUUCCCGAUGUCCAGCCUCCCCGCUGCCCAACCCCUCCUCGUGGCACCCUGUCUGGAACCAGCUGGCACACGAUGCGAGCAAAACGCCGUAUUUUCUGUGCCUCCGACGGCAUCCAGCCUGCUCUCGGCUGCCCUAAAACGCCAGAUAAACAAACAGCGCACGGGCGCAGUGCAGACAUCUCCAGCAGGAAACAAAGCGCAGAACUUGCUCUAUUUUAAUCCCAUCAAGGGUCUUCUUGGAAGCGAGGCAGAGCCCGGCUGUGCAGAGUUAAGAAUGAAAGCCUAUUUUUAGCCUGUCCCCGGUGAGGGAAGACCUGGAGCCCAGGCUGGCAUUCCCUCCUGCCCGUGACCUCCAAACACCCGACACUGACGGGAGCAGCUCUGUAAAUGGUGUACUCUCCACAGCUGUUGAUUAAAUUCAACCUAGUUCAAUAAUGGCAAGAAGUCACCGGCGUGUUUGAUUGCUCAAGUGUCCUAUAUGUCGAUGGGCUAAGCGAAGGCAUGUCUUCGUUGCGCAACGGAACCGUCUGGGUCUGACUGAGCAGCCUCGUCGCAAAACUGAACUCGGCGAGGCUGAGUGAGCGCCGCUAAGACUUGAGGAGGCAUAUCUGGAUGUAUUUUAGCACUGCAGUUUUUCGGAGUGAAAGAACUGUUGUUAAUAUUCAUGGAAGGGAAGAUGAAAAGGCACUGGAGAAGGGAGCUCAUGGCAGGGUACCAAGGACAUCUCAGCAGGUUUUAUCCUGUGCUCUCGCUAGGGAGAGGAAGGUUCACAGCCUAAGUAUGGCUCUUCUCAUACUAUAGAUUUUUCUCCGGGAUUGUCUUGAUGCCAGCUACCCCUAAACUCAAAUCUAACGCUCUGGUGGAUGAAGAAGUAUUAAUUUAAGGCAGCCUAUGAGGAAGUGCCUGAGCUCCCUCUGAAGUGAAGGCUCUUCACUCGGUGAGCUUAGUCUAGUUCUAGUAAGCUUCAUUACUGGCAACCUUAGCUGUAAAGCCACAGUUAGAAAAGGACAAAUCUCUAGACUUGGUCUCUCUGAGUAAGAACUAUUUACUACAGCCAUGCUAUACCCUUGCAAUGAUUUCAGAGGGCCCUGCUUCUGGAUUUGUCAGCAGCAAAGUGUCAAGAUUAAUUUAAAAGCAGCCUUAAAAGUACCUUGAGUUUGCAUCUUGUUUGAUUGCUUUACUAAUAAGAAAAACACAAAAUGAUUCAUAUUAGAAAAAUAGGUUUCAGUGGUCUUUUAGGGCAGGCCCGGCGCCAAUUCUGAACCGAGGCACUCUGAAGUGAUAAAAGCACAAAUGCCACGAGGAAGGGUAUUUCUUACCGGAGACAUAAUCUGAAGAAGAGGGAAUAGGCCAAGAAGUCUCAAGCCAUUAGCUGGGUUUAUGCAGCUACAUGGCACUGCAAUAUUCCUCAGCUGCUUUCAUAUAUUUUGAAAGCUUUCCUCACCCCUGCACAUGAUGGCUAAUAGCGAGAUUUAGCAUUUGACUUGAUCUGUCCCAGUGCAUGUGUUAUGUAUCACCUGAGCAUGGCUUUACUCCUUAUCCAGAGCCAACUUGUAGACAAUUAGCAGGACAGAUCCCGAAGAUGCUGCUCACUGAAACUUUCCCUGGAACCAUUUUCCAGUGGAAAUUUUUUUCCUCUCUCAGAAACUGGACAAAGAGAAACUGUUCAGGUCUGUCAGCGGUACCUAAGUGCACGGUAAAAUAUCUCUUGAAGAAAUCAAGAUCAAAGCUCAUACAAUUAGGGACAAACUAAAAUCAAGGGCACCUUUACUGAAGCUCAUUAAAAAUAUCCUUUGUACCGCUCUCCUACGUGGCACCCAAAGUCUCACGAAUACAGUGGUCUAAUGAGAAUGCAAUGAGUUUUUUUUUUUUUUUUCCUCCAGUAUUUUUCUUUUCCAUACUUAGCAAAUGUCGUAGUUUAAUUAAGGGAUGUCAAAGGCACAGAGAGCUGCCCCGAGAUAAUCGUCACCUGCUGCUAGAUAAAUGCUGAGGUGAAGACAAGCAAGAAGAGCGAUCACGCAAACGCCGAAUUACGGAGAAAGGGCAAAGUUCAAAAACGGAACUGACAAAACCCAUCAUUUAUCGAGGUGGGCUGACGGAGCUGCUUGUGCCGGCGCUUGCGGACGGGCCCCUCCACCCCGGGUCCCCUCGCAGCCGUUCGCGAGCUCGCCGGCCUCCCUCGUGCCUCUUCUCGCUCCCACGCUGUCCCUUGCGGGAAGAUUCGCGCCGCAGCAUCUCACGGCGUCCGGCGGGCGGAGCGUCCUCAGCGUCGGGUGCCCGGGGCUGCCGCUGCCCUCUCGUCAGAGCAGCGGGCUGAGCCCUCCGCAGGGAUCCCGGCUCCCGCCGCAGCUGGGAGACAUUUGCAAAGCGCUCGCUGAAGGCCUGACCUCAAGCCAUUUAGAUCGCUACAAAGGCUCUUACUGGCUUCCUUCAGGACCCUGCUGACAGCCUUUCCUUUAGUCUUUAAAAGCAUGCAUGUCUUUAUUUAUUAAUAUUUACCAAAGCCCUUCCAGGCCUUGACUCUUUGAUUUUCCAACCUUCUACGAUUCUCACCAGAUGAAGCGUUCUUUUUCGGAAAAACAACCCGCCCGGCUGCCUGCUCCCCUCUCCUGGUGUUCGUGCUUGGCUUUCACGGGAAGGUUGUUUCACUCUCCUUUCCUUCUUCCCACCUAGGUCAAUAUUGAUCUGAUCAUUUCAGCAGCAGUUUUGUGCUAAGGGCUGUCUCUGUGCUGUGCCCUCUGAUGAAUCCAUGACCUGCAAACCAUCCUUCUUUCUUGCUUGUCGCCCUUGUCCGGGUUUCUAUUCCACCAGUUCACAACUUCACAGAAUGUUUUACCAGAGGGGUGGUCUAUGCUUUAUUUCUCCAAUUACUCCCGUUUCUCAAUUUCUGUGCAGAAAUGACAGCACAACGCCUUACAGGUUACCUGUCUCUUCAAAAUGAUCUCCGAAUUAAUAUACAGGUACUGUAUUUCCAGCAAAUAUUUCAUUUUAAUGGGAAUCAUGCCCUAAAAAAAUAGCUUGCUAGAGUCCCUGUAGAAGUUCAUCAACACGUAAUGCUCUGAAGAUGGCCGGACAAGGCUCAGGUCAAGUCUCGAUCCCCUAUUCCUGAUGAGCGGUGCACCAGCCACGCAGAAAUCAAAGAAAACAUCUCCAUGGAAUCAUGACACCUCCUACAACUUCCCCACAGCGCUGCGGACAAUGCAAGCAUGGGGCUAGCGCAUUUUCAGACUCCGUAGGUCAAGCAAGAUGGAUAAUCUUCCUUUGACCGUGACUGAUUUCUCACUGCAUUGUUAAUGAACAGCGGUAUUUUGACCAGCUUUGAUGUUUACUUCAUCUGACCCACUGGUGAGGUUCUUCAAGUGGGACCACCGCACAGAGGUCCCUGGGGUGAAGGGUUCAUAAAGUAAGUAAUUGUAAGUAACAAAGAGAGCCAAAUUAAUUCCUUCACACUGGAAAAUGACAUAUGUCUUCUGAGCCAGGAAACAAAAGAAGGAUUUCCAUGGCAUUCCUCUACAAAACCAUCAAUCAUUUCAUUACCAUGAAACAAGCUUCACAGAAUAUUCUGUAGUUUUACCAAUAAAUGCUGAUAAAAUUAAGCCCC